ensembl:lncRNA
UGAUUCCUGACGCACGUAGGCCGGUGGGGCGGGGCGGGAAGCGCUGGUGAUCCCGGCAGAUGGGCGCCCUCUCCCGUCUCUCAGAGACCACUCAGUCCAGUCAAGUCUGCAAAUCGGUUAACUUGGGGGCUCUGGCGGUCGAAGUGGCGUUAACUCGCGUUGGUGCGAGAGGUCGCGACGCUUUUCAUUAUACGCUUCUGUGUUUCUGGGCUGAGGGCUCAGAGCCAGAGUGCUGGCUUGUGUCCUUCCUAGCCGUCCCGCCUGCCCCGAGUGUUGCGGAGAGUUUCUGAGAGAGAGCCCCUGAGGAGGGGAGCGGGCGCUUUCGCGGGCUCACACGGAGGGGCUGGGUAGGGAGAGGAGCCGCGCGGGCCGGGGCGGCGGAGAGGCCGGACCGAAGUCGUCAGUGGACACCGCCACCCCUCGGUCGGACCUCGAAGUGGACCUGCGCGCUCACCUGAAUUUCAUUGAAAUCUCUUGCUGGCCAAUGAUCAACUCUUUCCAAGCUGAGUGUUCUUUACUGUUAUACAGGACUAUCAUGAAGAUGCAUUGAAAGUUACACAGCACUGGAGGAGUGUGAUAUCCCUUUCAGUUGGUAAUCUUUCUGUCAUGAAAGUUGCUUGCCAGCUUUACUUUUGAAUGAACACAGUAAACACUAAGGUGAAAAUAUUAAUGAAAAAAUCUACUCUCCAUACUGUGUAUAUUUCCCUAUAUGUUCUGAACCUGCUUAUAGCCACCUACCACAGUAGUCUGUAGUUUCUGUUUGCCAAACUAUAAAAGUCUUAGUUAAAAUCCUAUAUUUUUUCUACUGUUCUACCUUGACUUUCCCUUCAGCUCUUGCUUCUCAGGAUUGAGAUAUGGAAAGAUCCUUCUGUCCUUUACCACACAGUUCCUUUGUCAAGAAUUCCAGGAUGUCCUCCAAGUUUGCAAAGGUAGGAAGCAGAAGAGGUUCCAGGGAAGAAAACUGAGAACUGAUCAAAAGAAGUAUGAAGAGGAUGGAGUGCAGAAGAUGGGGAGAAGCAUGUUCAGUCGAGUGUGAUAAUGCCCAAAACGUCAGGAGUUGAGUCGGAGUAACUGAAGCUGACAAGUCUGUUGAUGACUGGUAAUCUGGGGGAGGAAAGCAGUAUCAAGAUACAAGUCUGAGAAAACUCAGGUCUCAAGAAAUUGUGCCAUCAAAGGGAGAAGAUAACUGUGGCAGCAAAGUCUUUUAUGAAGAUUGAUGGUGAAGGUAAGAAGGAGUUGGGAUUUGUCACUGGGCUCUUUGGAAAUAGGACUCAAUGGAGGGCUCUUUUCCCCCCAAGACAGAAGAAGCUUGGUGUUUUGAUACGUAGGGAGGAACUGAUGAGGAAAAGAGGAGGAAGACUGAAUAAAGAGAUAAUUCAUGAGUUAAGGUCUCAGAACUUAACUGGAAAAGCAUGAGAUCAACCUUGGAAUGGAAGGCAAGAAGGAAAGAGGAAUGAGUGGGAAAUAGAAGGUGUGAGGCGAAUGGGAAGAACACACAGGAAUUUCCAUCAGCUUUUGCUUAAUGAAAUAGAGGUAUGCAGAUUAUCCGCUAAGAGUACAUGUAUAUAGACCCCUGUAAGAACUGGUCUCCUACCUCCCACACUUCAUUUGCAUGUUCUUUGACUAUUUGCUGACUGAGGGUAAACAGCCAGGCUCCCUGGAAGUGCCUUUUCAAAGAGUUCUGAAGAAGAGAACUCUUUAGUUCUUGUUCAAACUGAGGGGACUUGAGUGCCCUGGAGUUCCACAGAAUUCAUAUGCAGAUCUCAAUAGAUCUCAAACUCAGCUCUGUUUGUGAUCCUGGGUUGUGUAACUAACAUGGAUAAUUCAAAUAUCACAACUUUCCAUUUCUUUUGUACCUCAAUAACACUGAUUCAUUAUCAAAUAAAUAAAAUUUAUUUACUCCGAAUGUUUCGUCUUUGUUGGUGCUCUUAACUGAUGAGAGAGUCCAUCAGUAUGUUGUUUUGGAUUAACUUAUGAAAAUGAAGAGUUUAUGGAUUAUAUGCUGAUGGAAAAUUGUCUGCUGAGGUAGCUUCAUAUUUGUUCUUUAUUCUACUGAUUUCAUAUAUUUGAAUUUUGCAAAAUGUGAGUUUUUUGAAUGAGCACACCCACACAUAUUUAUAUAUAUAUAAGGAAGUACAUAAUGUGCAUGUCUGAAGCCAAAAUAUUUAAAGUUAUUUCAAAUUAAUAAAAG